UACAGAGGUCUCAAGCGUUGUUCGGAUUCAUUGGGCGUAAAGGGUGCGUAGGUGGCAGGGUAAGUCGGAUGUGAAAUCCCGGGGCUCAACCUCGGAACUGCAUUCGAUACUGCUUUGCUUGAGUACUGGAGAGGAGAUUGGAAUUUACGGUGUAGCAGUGAAAUGCGUAGAUAUCGUAAGGAAGACCAGUGGCGAAGGCGGAUCUCUGGACAGUUACUGACACUGAGGCACGAAGGCCAGGGAGCAAACGGG
rnacentral:rRNA from 1 species